rnacentral:rRNA from 1 species
CCUACGGGGGGCGGCAGUGAGGAAUUUUCCGCAAUGGGCGAAAGCCUGACGGAGCGACACCGCGUGAAGGAUGAAGCUUUUCGGAGCGUAAACUUCUUUUAUGUAUGAAGAUUAUGACGGUAAUACAUGAAUAAGCACCGGCUAACUACGUGCCAGCAGCCGCGGUAAUACGUAGGGUGCAAGCGUUAUUCGGAUUUACUGGGCGUAAAGAGUGUGUAGGCGGCUUUGUAAGUUAGAUGUUAAAUCUGUGGGCUCAACCCGUAGGCUGCAUCUAAGACUGCAAGGCUUGAGAGUGGAAGAGGCAGAUGGAAUUCCUGGUGGAGCGGUUAAAUGCGUAGAUAUCAGGAGGAACACCAAUGGCGAAGGCAGUCUGCUGGGCCAUUUCUGACGCUGAGACACGAAAGCGUGGGGAGCGAUCGGGAUUAGAUACCCCGGUAGUCCACGCCGUAAACGAUGGAUACUAGCUUUUCGGAGUAUCGACCCUCUUGAGAAGCGAAGCUAACGCGUUAAGUAUCCCGCCUGGGGAGUACGGUCGCAAGACUAAAACUCAAAGGAAUUGACGGGGACCCGCACAAGCGGUGGAACAUGUGGUUUAAUUCGACGCAAAGCGAAAAACCUCACCAAGGCUUGACAUACCAAUCGUAUCCCUAAGAAACUAGGGAGUCAGUUAGGCUGGAUUGGAUACAGGUGUUGCAUGGCUGUCGUCAGCUCGUGUCGUGAGAUGUCGGGUUAAGUCCUUUAACGAGCGCAACCCUCAUUGCAUGUUAAUUUUUCAUGCGAGACCGCCCUGGUUAACAGGGAGGAAGGUGGGGAUGACGUCAAGUCAGCAUGGCCCUUACGCCUUGGGCUACACACGUGUUACAAUGGCCGGUACAAUAAGUCGCAAUACCGCAAGGUGGAGCUAAUCUAUGAAAACCGGUCCCAGUUCGGAUUGGGGGCUGAAACUCGCCCCCAUGAAGUUGGAAUCGCUAGUAACCGUGAAUCAGCACGUCACGGUGAAUACGUUCCCGGGUCUUGUACACACCGCCCGUCACACCACGAAAGGCAGAGACGCCCGAUACCCUCGUAGAGGUUUAAGGUGAAGCUGCUGAUUGGGGUGAAGUCGUAACAAGGUAACC